AUUACUUACUGUGCAACUCAGGCUGGCUGCGCCUGGUCGACACGUCGUGGGUGCUUGCGCCGGCCCAAGCGAGCGUCUCACCAAGGUUCCAAGAAGCACGCCAAGGUUCCAAGAAGCACACCAAGAUUCAAAGAAGCGUUACUCGGUAUAAAUGGGAGGGGCACACCAAGGUUCCAAGAAGCACACCAAGCUUGGAAGCAAACAAUAAGCUGCAGGAAGCGCCGACCAGUUGACGGACGGCUUCGAUCCAUGGAUGCCGAGAUGCCUCUUCUGCAGCUUGUGACCCAGGCCAAGAAGCCGAUGGCCGCUCCUCCGCUCCAGGAUGCUACCCGGCUGGCCAGCGCUUGGGCGCUUGUCAAUGCAAGCAUCAUCAUCGUCUCCUACGCCUUGAGCUCCGCCAUCGUCCCUGCACUCUGCCAGCUGCCGUGCUGCGAUUUAUGCAGGGAGGACGCCAUGGAACGCGCCCUCUUGAUCGGGCUGUGGUGUUGCAGCGCACUUCAGGCGGCCGCGGCGGCGCUGGCUCUGCUUCUUCUGUGCCGCCGCCACCCGAUCCGCCGUGCUGUUGCCUACCUCGCCGUCGCGGUCGCCAUCGUCGGUCACUUGUUUGUUGUCCGGCAUCGCCCCGCUCGCCGCCGACGCCGGACUAGGACCCGUCUUGCUCUUCCCCUUGAUCGUCUACGCCGCGGCGGCGGUGGUGCUGCUACUCCCGUGCCGUUGCCGCCGGAUCUGGCAUGCCCUCGCCUACCUCACGGUCGCGGUGGUGGCCGUCGUCCUCGGCUGCUGUAUUUUGGCGAGCUUCGUUCCCAUCGCCGUCGACACAGGACUAGGCUUGCUCAUCGUCUUGAUAGUCUACGUGGCGGCCAUGUUCACCCUUGCGGUGGGCGACCUCAGCUUCAUGGCCCUGCUCCUGGGAGGAGAAUAUCCCUGGGACUGCUGAUAGCUCAUGCCCAUGGAUCAGCUCAUGAGAGUACAUAUGUACUCAGGAAUCAAACUUCCCCUCCGUGAGCAGCAGGGCAAAUCAGCAAUGGCAGGCUACGUGCAUGUUCGGGCUUGCAAAAUGGACAAAUGGUCCGCGGUAACAUGCUAAUGUACAUAGGCUAGGAGUAAGCUUUCUCGGAGAUCUUCAGCCCCUGCCGAGACGGCAUCAGCAUUUCAGCAACCUGCUCGAGUCUUGCCGUGUCUACGCCUAUGAAAUCACUCUAUGAUCUCUGACAAUAACUCCACAACCACCUGAAAAGAGUUCAUCUGAAAAGGCUGCAUCAACGUUCGGAAUUUUAUGGCCAGGGGUGUGGCUUCUUCUAGUUUUUCAGACGUGAGAUGGGCUUCAUGUUUAGCUGCUCCCAUUCCCCGUUAGGUGUACAAACUAAAUAACAGAGGUCUUCACUGAUAACCGUUGGUUAGCUGAAUAGUUUGACACGAGUAGUACUCCCUCUGUCCCUAAGUGUCUCAACUUUAUAUUAAAUUUGUGUCAUACAGAAAACUAUUGUGUAUGUAGUAAAAAAGCCUUUCGCCCCGCUUUAUAUAUAAAGCAACAUCCUCAACAACCCGGUACAAACACCCGCCAACACUACACACGUACACAUGAAAG